rnacentral:rRNA from 1 species
AUGGCCAUAGGAGUGUGGUGGACGAUGAAGAAGAGCUUAUUAUUGAAACUGAGUGUGUAUCUGUUGAUCAUCGUCAUGGCUAACUGCUCCCGGGACAUCCCUGACUCUGUUUCUGACCACCCUCCCGGGUACAUCAUCUGUGGCGAGAUUAGUGCGACGUGGGGCAAGCAUCUGUGCAUCAAGCACGGCACCUGCACCAAGCCGUGCCGGGCAGAAGGGUACGACUCAGGCUACUGCGCCCCAUUCCCGUGGUCGACCUAUUGCUGCUGCAAAAAUAUUUGUGGCGAUUCUGUGCAACCUCACAGGAGCAGCUUUAUAUGCGGUGAUAAUUAUCUACAUUAUUAA